UUCGGUGGCGAUAGCGGAGGGGCCACACCUGUUCCCAUCCCGAACACAGAAGUUAAGCCCUCCAGCGCCGAUGGUACUACAUGGGUAACUGUGCGGGAGAGUAGGACGCUGCCGAAA
rnacentral:rRNA from 1 species